UGAGUGAUUCUUUCUUUUCGACUAGAGGAGUUCUCUUUGUUAGAAAGCCCUCUUGCUGCUUAAAAAGGAGCUAAUUGACACUAUUCAAUGUCUCGAGUAGGCCAAUAGCCUUUCUUACCUUUGCUGGUGCUUGAGUUGGAUUGGAUGAGGAUUGAGGAUUAGCAAUGAUUCUCCAGCCAUUUUUAGGUUUUACCUGGCAAGUCUAACUAGAUCUUUAUCUAAACACAAGCAAAAUCCGCAGUAAGGAAUGUUACUAAUGGAACAUGUAGGAAUAAUAGGUCCUAUUCUUUUUUUGUUGACCCUCAUUUCAAUUGAUUGGAUGCUUGAGCACUCAGAGAUUUUCGUGAGUUCCUCGUAUAUAAUAAAGUAUCUUCCGCCCCCUUCCACAACUAUUUAUAUUUCCUAUCGGGCUCCCAACGUCCAGUCAUUAGACAAUGGAAUAAUAAUAGAAAAUUUGUAUUUGUAGUAGAAGGUAAUUGCGAAGUCUUGAU
rnacentral:lncRNA from 1 species